GCGAAGCUCGCGUGCUCGGCGACCCGUCUGUUUUGGAUAUAGCCCAUUUUUUGGGCUCCCGGCCUUCUCUAUGCUUCUCUUGCGUAUCGUCUGCAUUUCGACACGGCACCACUGCACUACUGGACUACGGCAAGCUGAUGGCAUCCGGUGGAGCAUCGUACGGCAACGACUGCUGCUUACCUGGUGCCACAACUUUGGAUGAAUGCAGAAGAAGCCCGGAACGAGCAUUUAUAUAGAGCAAAACAAACAUUUCAUCAUUUCAGAAGAA
rnacentral:lncRNA from 1 species